UUGAAUUUAGAUAAUGUUAUAUCUAACAAUCGAGAUUUAACUGCACUGACUACACAGCUAUGGAGGAUUUAAUCCAAAAACAUUUUGUUUCUUUGAACUUUUAGAAGUGGUGUGGGGGAAAGAUGUUACCACCUAUUGGGAGCUGGGAGAAAGAGAAGCAUAUAAGAUAAACUUUCAUGAUUCCUGUCUAAACACAAUGAAUCCUCUCUGAUUUUCUGAAAAAACAAACAGGUCAACAAUCAUGCAAUUCGUCCGCAUUUCCUUUCAUUUCAUACAGCAUCGCCAAAUACUUUAAGGAAUAAAAGUAGAUUGAGGAGUGUACAGGACAAAAUUUAAGAUGGACAUACAAUACUUCGAAAAGCAUAUCUCACCACAGUCUGUUCAUAUGUACAAGCAUGGCGAAAAAUAUGUGAAGUUAUUACUAAUGUAUUCAAGCAUCAUCAUAUAUGAAAAUAUGAUACAAGAUUUCAUGUAUUGAAGUGUCUAUGGAAAUCUGAUACAACAGUUCUUGUAUUGAAGUAUCUAUACUCAGUCACAGAUACAACCUUAUUUUUCGCACCAGUCUAUCCAAGGAAACACACAUUCCACUACAAUCAUUCACAUUAUAGACAAGACAGAGAUAAUGAAAUUGAUGCAAAUCAUUACAGAACUGUAAAAUAGAGCUAUAUAUAAUACAAUCAUAAUCCAGUGUUGAAACAUAACUCUCUGUACUA
rnacentral:lncRNA from 1 species